rnacentral:misc_RNA from 1 species
GAAUCAACCAACUAUAUACAUUACGGAAAACCAGCAACCAAAUAAGUUGACAACUACAAUGCAGUAAUUUUAGCAGUUACACAAUAAAAGAUUAUGCCAAGAUGAACCGACCACACUAGAACAAAGAGAACAUCCGAUCUCUCCUCAAAACUCAUCUACUCUAACAAAAUCACGGGGAAACUCAUAUGCGUCCUUCGAUCUAAGCUUCUUCACGCCAGCAGUAAAGCAGACCUUAUCAGACUUGUAGCUCUCGACACCAACUUGAGUCACUUUAACCCAGACGACCACUUUCGUCUUCAUCCCCUCUAUCAUGGUAAGCUUUCCUCUCGACAAACUUCCUUUGACGCGAGUGGCGUACUUCAGCACAGAAGAAUCUUUGAAGCUGACCUCGCAGGGAGAAGGAAGGUGAACGAUCAGUUUCGACUUCAGUUCAUCGAACUCGUAGCAGAUUAUGUUCUUGGGAAAGAGGCCUGCUGGCAGAUUGUACUCGCGGAGGAGUUCAGGUAGCGACUUCUGUGGUUUUCCUUUUAGUUUCUCAAAAAUCCAUUUUGCCUUCUCCUCCACAGUAUUUGAGAACCGCGAGAGGUCAUCACCGAUGGAAGAGAUCUCCUCCUUGGCUUUCUUCGAUAUCCAGAAGCUACCGACCUUCAAGCUCCCGACCUUUGUGAGUGCUUUCUCCAUUCCCACCUUUGCUGCAGGAGAGAGAAACGGAGAAGAAGCAA